rnacentral:rRNA from 17 species
AGCUUAAGCCGUUAGGUGUAGGCGUAGCGAAAGCGAGUCUUAAUAGGGCGUUGAGUUUGUGGGAUCAGACCCGAAACCGAGUGAUCUAGGCAUGGCCAGGUUGAAGAUAAGGUAACACUUAUUGGAGGACCGAACCCACAUCCGUUGAAAAGGAUCGGGAUGAGCUGUGCCUAGGGGUGAAAGGCCAAUCAAACUGGGAAAUAGCUGGUUCUC